rnacentral:lncRNA from 13 species
AUGUCUGCCGAAGUAGACAAAGUGAGAAGUCAGUCCAGCACAAGAAGAGAUGAUAGAAGAAGUACUGAGUCCUCCACAAGAAGAGAUGACAUUAGAAGAGAUGACAAAAGAAGUACAGAGACUGCCAGAAGAAGAGAUGACAAAAGAAGUACUGAGACUUCCAGAAGAAGAUAUGACGGAAGAAGUACUGAGACUGCCACAAGAAGAGAUGACCGAAGAAGUACUGAGACUGCCACAAGAAGAGAUGACCGAAGAAGUACUGAGACCGCCAUAGGAAGAGAUGACAGAAGAACAACAAGUACAGGGAAAGAAAAAAUUAAAAGGAAAAGCCGCAGUAGAUCAUCUUCCUCCUCAUCCAGCUCAUCCUCAUCAUCGGGAUCCUCUUCAUCAUCCUCAUCCCGCUCCUCGUCUGGCAGUAGGAGUAGUUCGAGCAGCAGUGAUUCCCACAGCAAGUCCAGAAAGAAUUCUAAGAAAAGGAAAAAGGAAAAACAACUCAAAAAGAAAGGGAAAAGGGAGAAAAAGCUUAAACGGAAGAAGGACAAGAAAAUUAAGACGGAGGAGGAAAGCGCUGGACCUGGACCUAUUCAGAUAUCCAAGUAUUUAAAAGAGAGAAAGAGAAAAAGCAAGUUCAGCAUGAUUUCAGGAAAGAAGAUAAAAAUGAAAUUGAAGAAGUCAAAGAAAGACAAGCUGAGAGACAAGAAUCGCGCAGAACUGCUUGAAUUCCUCAACUCCACGUUGUAA